GGCCAGCGUGACCAAGAAGACAGCAGAAGACACUGGACAAUGAGGCCUCCCCUGGCGGUUGGUGGUUGUAUUGCACAAGCGAUGCUGUGCCCCAGUAAUGACGGGACAGGACAUCUGGUGCAGCCUCUUCCCAACCCCCUAAACCACUAGCUCCCCUCUGUGCCAGUUUCUGACUUGUCAUCGUAGACCGUGCUGAGACGGCCCUGAGACCUGCUCUCUCCCUGUGACUGUUCAUCAAGCAGCCCCGCCACUCUGUGCGGCCACGACCUAAAGCAGCCCCGUGUUAGGCCAGCGAGCAGAGGACGUUCCUGUGUCUUUCCUGACUGUCCACCUGCUGCUGGACCCUCAGCAGGCCCCAGCAUCUUUGUCAUGAGAGACGCCGUUUUGACGUGUGUCUCUGUCCGAGGGGCUAUGUCUCCCGUUCACUAGCGUGUGAGGACCAGGAUGAGCAAUGGGUCUGUGGACCUGCCGAAUCCUUCUCUCUAAGGGUUACCCUAAGCUCUGCAGCCCGGGCGCCACUGCCCUGCGGGUCCACACUCACACUGUGGGAUUGUCCCCGCAGCACACUCACCCCCUCUCCGUGUGUGUGCCCCACAGCGUACUGUUACUGGCGUGAAAGGAGCAAAGCACGCGGAACCCUGACAACCUCACGCUGCCGAGUGAAAGAAGCCAGUCGCAACAGCCAUACAGUGUGACUCCAUUUAUGUGUGUCCGGAAGAGGCAAAUCCAGACACAGGAAGCAGGCUGGUGCUUGCCCGGGGGCUGGCGGAGCGGGAAAUGGAGGGCGAGUGUUUAUGGGCGAGCGGCCCCUUCUCGCCUGCGGCCCUGGCCCCAGCUCACUGGCCCCCGGUAUGCGCUGAGCAGACCCUCUCUGGGCUGGCACUGCCCCUUCCUGCUCCCAGUCCCUCCUGCUGCAGCCUGGGCCACCUGCAGGGACCCCAGGAGCCCAGCCCUGCCCUGUGACGUGAGCACUAGAAAUGCAAGAGGAACUGGCUCUUCUUUUUACUUUUUAAAAACUUUAUUGGGGAACAGUCUGUUUUUCCAGGACUCGUCAGCUCCAAGUC